rnacentral:rRNA from 1 species
UACGGAGGGGGCUAGCGUUGUUCGGAAUUACUGGGCGUAAAGCGCACGUAGGCGGAUCGAUCAGUCAGGGGUGAAAUCUCAGGGCUCAACCCUGGAACUGCCUUUGAUACUGUCGAUCUGGAGUAUGGAAGAGGUGAGUGGAAUUCCGAGUGUAGAGGUGAAAUUCGUAGAUAUUCGGAGGAACACCAGUGGCGAAGGCGGCUCACUGGUCCAUUACUGACGCUGAGGUGCGAAAGCGUGGGGAGCAAACAGG